UACAAGGUUUAUGUUCAACGUUUGAUCGUCUGUCUUAUUUGAAAAAAAAAUUAUGAUUAGUAUUUUUAUUGUUAUUAGAUGAUAAAACAUGAAUAAUACUUUAUGUGUGACUAUUUUUUAAAAAAAACUUUAAAUAAAGCGGACGGUUAAACGUUGAACACGAAAACUGAUAACUGCCCUUAAA
rfam:Oryza glumipatula chromosome 6, whole genome shotgun sequence.